AACUUUCGGCAACGGAUCACUUGGCUCCGGCAUCGAUGAAGAACGCAGCGAAAUGCGAUAAGUAGUGUGAAUUGCAGACUUCAGUGAAUCAUCGAAUCUUUGAACGCACAUUGCGCCCGCCAGCAUUCUGGCGGGCAUGCCUGUUCGAGCGUCAUUUCAACCCUCAAGCCCGGCUUGGUGUUGGGGCGCCGCGGCGCGCCGCGGGCCCUGAAAGACAGCGGCGGGCCCGCCACGGUUCCGAGCGCAGUAGGUUCCUCUCGCUCCGGGAUCGCGGCCGGCUCGGCCUCGAGACGCACAUGACAAAAGGUUGACCUCGGAUCAGGUAGGAAUACCCGCUGAACUUAAGCAUAUCAAUAAGCGGAGGCU
rnacentral:misc_RNA from 1 species